GCGUCCGCUGAGCACUGGGCAGGGAGGCAGUGGUCGCCGCUGGCCCCUACCCCUUCCAAGUUCGGUUGGACUCUCGGGACAGUUCCACCCGUUGGGGUCUGGGGCGGGUGGCAAAUCUCCUCCCCCACUGUUCACUUUCUCCACUCGCCCCUUCCCCCAUUCACUGGGCCACGUAGAAGCGCUCUCGCUUUCGUGCCCUUUACCCCUAGAAGCCUGAAGGUAACUGAAUGGAAACACUGACACGUGAAAACUCUAUUCUGAGUGACUUAGAAUUGGCCGCCUUGAGGUUUUAAUCUUGCCCCUCUGGUCCCGCCCAGCCUUAAGAGCAGCUGUCCUAAUGGUCUGCGCAGCCUCUCUGGUCCUUGAGGAAGAUUUGCACGACAGCUUUCUUCUGAGCUCUGAGACCGUCACGUCCCGAUUUAGAAACAGAGAGAAUGAACUGGCCAUCACCAACCAUCUGCUAGGAGGGGAGGUGCCCUCUCCCCAUUCUGGCCUUUUUUUCUGUUCCCUCCCUAUGUGCAACUGGUUUUCGCCUCCAGGAGACGUGCCCUCCCCCAUCCCAUCACUACCCGAGGGCAGUCACCGAGGCCGAGGCCAGGUCAAGCAGAGGCUGUUGUACCCAGGACAGCCUUGAGUGUUUGUGGUGUCGGCAUAGGUGGUAUUUGGAGAUGUCAGUGCACCAGCGACCUCUUCUAAGACUCUUCAAAAGAAACUGAUCUCUAUUGCUUGGCUUUUAGUUGUCCCUCCACUUCCCCUUGAGGACCGCUAGGUGCGUUUGUUUACUGUCUCACCUACAAGUUGAACCAACUUGAGACCUUUCACUAUGAGCUAAGUGAUUUCUAUUUUUAAAGAAGGGGCCAUAAUGUUUGUUGGCUGAACUUUUCUGUUUUGCUGACCUGAUAAUCCACUCUAGUGUUUGGCUACCAAAAAAGGUCCCUCAAGUGCUCCAGGUCCACCUGGGGGCCAUUUGCCAAACUCCCUGCCCUCCAACUACAGUCAUCAAUGCAAGAUCAGACUGAAUUUAACUCUCUUUCUUGUGACCUCCUGUCUUGGUUCUCUGCCAGUGAAUGUCUGAAAGGAAAACUGACCACAGUUAAGGAAACCUCUGUGCACUUGCCAUUGUAUCCCUGAAACCUGGAAAUGAAAAUAGAAAUCGUUUGAUGUAUGAGGAGAUGUUAUCUAAUUAGGAUGUAAGAAAUUUAAUCUUUCUAGCAUGCAGGUCAUAUAAUUAAUGUUAAUUUAACGCUCAAAUUCUCAGUCAUUAAUUUUUAUUCUCUUAAAUGCAGUUUGGCAGGGGCCUCUGAUCCAGGGCAAUGGCUUUUACUGGAUGUGAGAGCACUCUUGGUAUUAGGAGUGACUCACUGAAAACCUUCCUAACCCAAUAACAAGAUCACAUCAUGUAUGCAUUAUUAAGCUACAUAAUUGAACAGUCUAUAGUUUGCAUAUCAGACUAUUAAAAUAAUGUGUUUUGCUUUUCUCUGAACACGUAUUGUUCAAGCCUCUGCGAAUAUGUGGUGAUUCUGAUAAUUAUCACCAAAUUACAGCAAAUGUUCUCUUCAUUAACAUGAUUUCUUUCAAGCAUUUUUAAAAUGUGAAUAUCAUCAUGAAUUAAGGGACUUCUUCCAAAGUUAUACAAACUUUUAUUUAAAGGGACUUACCAUUAGGAGAGAAGGGUUGUAUUUUAAAUGGCAGAAGUAGAGAGAUACAUUUAUCUGACUUUAAAGUGUUUUCCUCCGGUCAAAUAAAAAAAAAAAGUUUUCCAUUUAGCUUUCAGUGAAGCUUCAAGGGUAGAGACAAAGAGAAGAAGAAAGGGAGAGGGAAUGAAGAGAAGAAUGUCAAGAUUUGGACGUUACUGUAGAGUGAGAAGGCAGUUGAAGUCCCUACCUACUCCUUUGUAGAAAGCUAGUGGUCCCAGGAAAAUCUUAACUGCUUAUCUGCCCUAUCCUUAACGGUGGCUCUCGUCUCGCUUUAAAAAGCCUAAACUCUGAAUUUUAUGAAGCUAACAGUUUAUUACUAACUAAACACUGUUAUUCUCAGUCCUGAGCUGUACUGUUGGAGAACCGAUACACACGGGAAUAAAACCAAAAAAAAAAAAAAAAAAAAAAGCCUUUUCUCAGAAUGUCGUCAAAGCUGAAUAGCAGGGCUUGUUUCGUUGUUGGUCUUUUUUUUUUUUUAACUAUUGCAAAAUAAAAGUCUUUUUUGAUGUGAAAGUUU